rnacentral:misc_RNA from 1 species
AAGUCGUAACAAGGUUUCCGUAGGUGAACCUGCGGAAGGAUCAUUACAAAUCCAAGUCAAGUCUAUUGACAAGUUGAAAUGUGUGUGAGAGAGAGAAUAUAUUUCCACACAAAGUCCAUACAUCAGUUGAACAAAUAUCAUUCAUUCUAUAUUUUACACAACUUGUAACAAUGGAUCUCUAGGCUCUU